GACGAACGAGGGAGGCGGGAGGAACACAUGCAAGUCGAACGGAAAGGCCCUGCUUUUGUGGGGUGCUCGAGUGGCGAACGGGUGAGUAACACGUGAGUAACCUGCCCUUGACUUUGGGAUAACUUCAGGAAACUGGGGCUAAUACCGGAUAGGAGCUCCUGCUGCAUGGUGGGGGUUGGAAAGUUUCGGCGGUUGGGGAUGGACUCGCGGCUUAUCAGCUUGUUGGUGGGGUAGUGGCUUACCAAGGCUUUGACGGGUAGCCGGCCUGAGAGGGUGACCGGCCACAUUGGGACUGAGAUACGGCCCAGACUCCUACGGGAGGCAGCAGUGGGGAAUAUUGCACAAUGGGCGGAAGCCUGAUGCAGCAACGCCGCGUGCGGGAUGACGGCCUUCGGGUUGUAAACCGCUUUCGCCUGUGACGAAGCGUGAGUGACGGUAAUGGGUAAAGAAGCACCGGCUCACUACGUC
rnacentral:rRNA from 1 species